UCAAGAGGUAGUUUAUUUAAAAUAUUAAUUUUGGGGAUUAAUGAAAAAAAGAUUUUUUUCCUCUUGAA
rnacentral:tRNA from 1 species